CACAUUCUUAAUAACUCUUUUUCCUCAUUAUUUGCUUCUUUCUCAUAAAAGUAGAAUUAGAACAAAGGUCCACUUCUUGAAUAAUUAUGGUAAGAUUGAUUUUAGUGUGUUAUAAAAAGUAUGCAAGUGAUACUGAGUGCAGAGCAUUGGUUAAGUAAUGGCUCUUUCAUUAUAUCUCAUCUCACUUAUUCAACCAAUAGUGAGUACUACUAUAUGUUCAACACUGUUGUGGGUUCAUGUGCUGUAGAAACUGGACAAAAUAAAUUUAAAAGUAUAAUAUACAGUAUGUUUGAUAGUGAAAAGUAAUAUGGAGAAACAGCAUAAGGUGGGGUUAUGAAGAAGACUUUACUGUAAGGGUGACAUUGGAGUAAACAAGUAAGUUAGUGAGCUUUCUGGGGGAAGGGCAGAGGGAAUACAUGGUACAAAGACUCCGAGGCAGGAGCAUGCUUGAUAGGUUUCAGGAAUGUAAAGUGGCCAGUGUGGCUGGAACAAUUGGAGGGAGGAGAAGAGAAGUACCAGAUGAGAUCAGAGAGCUAAAAGGAUGCCAGAUGAUGUAGGGCCUGGGAAUAUUGCAAUGACUUUGCUGUUUAUGCCGGGCAUCGAGCAAGCCGUCUCCAAGCAUGAAACAUCAUUCACCUCAUUUCAGACAGACUCUGUGACAAAUUACAGCCUCCUCAGACAUUAAAAAUACAUUGAUCAAGAGAAGUUGUAAGACAUGGAAGAAAAAUUAAUCCAUACCCCUCUUAGAAAGAAAAGAAGAAACCACUUUUGUGAAUGACCUUUGGCUGAACAGACCAUCAAAUCUUAAAGGACCUGCCAGUUUCGCAUGCCUUCUGAGGACACUGAAGAAUAUCUGUCAUAAGAUGCUGGAGCAAAGUCUCAGAAGAGAACACAUGGAGACAACAGGUGAUAAAUAUAAAGGCCUUCGUGGGUUCUCAGAUACUAUUUACAAAAAGGUGACCUGUUGAGGCACAAUAAAUUAUAACAUAGCAUCAUUUUUCGUCUUCUACUUUAAAGAGCAACUGAAUGAUUUUGGACCUCUCUUGAAAUUCAAAACAAAUUGGAAGCCAGACGGUGGUUACCCAUAAUCCCCACAUGAGAUGAAAAUCAGGAAGCCCAUCUGCUUGAAUUACCCAUUUCCACAUGGAAGUUAGGAUCUCCAGCUA